UCGCUCAGGUCUCCCAGCAUCGACGAAUAUGCGUUUCGCCUUUUACUAAACGCAUCCGUGCUGGGGGACACUUACAAUGAGCCUAAAUGGCAAUUUGUGGCCCCUUAUAGGGGC
rnacentral:snRNA from 1 species